GAUGAAGAACGUAGCGAAAUGCGAUACUUGGUGUGAAUUGCAGAAUCCCGUGAACCAUCGAGUCUUUGAACGCAAGUUGCGCCCGAAGCCAUUAGGCCGAGGGCACGCCUGCCUGGCGUCACACGUCGUUGCCCCCCCAUCUACUCCUUCGGGAUUGCGGGGGGCGGAUGAUGGCCUCCCGUGCGCCUCGUCGCGCGGUUGGCAUAAAUGCCAAGUCCUCGGCGACGCACGCCACGACAAUCGGUGGUUGCGAAACCUCGGUUGCCCGUCGUGUGCGGUCGUCGCGCAUCGAGGGCUCGAAAAAAUUGCCGGGCUCCGGCUCGGCUUUCAACGCGACCCCAGGUCAGGCGGGGUUACCCGUUGAAUUUAAGCAUAUCAAUAAGCGGAGGA
rnacentral:misc_RNA from 1 species